CAGGAAGAGAGGAGAGAAACCUCUAUGCUGCUUUCAAGUAAGAAAUACUGGUGAGGAGCCAUAGCUACAUCCAUAGUGUGUUUAAAGUGUCCCAGCCUCAUCCUGGCUGAGAGGGGCUUUCCAUGACCCUUUGGUACAGGGUGGCUGCUGGUGAGACUGUAUAGGCAGCUACCUAAGCAGCACCAACAGCAAUCUGUGGCUUCCUAUUGGACCCAAUCUUUCAGAAGUCACACCCACCAUUGUGGAGUGAGCAGGAUCUUGGGGAGGUUCUUAGAGAGAAGAGGACAGAGGGAAGGACAAAGAGCUGGAGUUUGUAACAGAUUUACUUGGGCAGAACCUCUGGGAGAGAUGGGACAAGCAAAACUGCUGUGGAUGGGAACCAAAGCCACUGCUGGCACAUGCAUUCAGGGAGAAAGUUGCCAGUAUUUUCCUACAGCUUUUCUCCCAUAUAGUCGUCGUUUGCCCCCACUGCUGCUGCUGAUUUCCACGAGAUGGAGCUAUUUUAACAUAGCUUUGGUAGCAGCCCUCAGGAAACAAGUAAUGCUACUGCUAUUUUAUUUCUGUGACGAUAUUUCUGAAGUGGGUAGGCUUUUAUGAAAAAUCAUAAUUCAGAAAAAAGCAAACCCCAACAGCAACAGCUGGAGCACGAUGCACAUUUUGAUAGACUACCAUCAAAAGGCCUCUUGCAAAAAUUGCUGCCAGAGGAUGCAGGUCCCUAUUUUGGUCAGGUCCACCUUGGAGUGGAGGACAGCCGAGAAGGAAUGUCUUGCUUGCCAGCUCCCCUGCAGACUGACCACUCAAAACCAGAGAUAGCUGAAAUCAAUCAGCAAUGGGUGCCUACUCAUGGACACCAACUGCACA